rnacentral:lncRNA from 1 species
AAACCUUUUCUUCUUCCUUACAUAAAAAUACCAAAAAACAUUCAUAUUUUCAAACAACAAACAAUCUUUCAAAAAGAACUAAGUAACCUUGAUUUCUCAUAUUGAGAAUACGUAGGAGCAAGGUCAAUCCUUAUCGGGCACAAAAAAUAAAAAAAAAAUUGUUUCUUUAAAUUUUUUAUUUUAGGGAUAAUUANACAUUUA